UGGUGGGGUGACUUGUCUGCUUAAUUGCGAUAACGAACGAGACUUUAACCUGCUAAAUAGCCCGCAUUGCUCCGGCAGUGCGCUGGCUUCUUAGAGGGACUUUCGGCUCAAGCCGAAGGAAGUUUGAGGCAAUAACA
rnacentral:rRNA from 1 species